UUUUUUUUCCCCCUUGGCGUGUUCCGCACUUGGACAAACUGAGUAAAUACAUAACGCAAUCGAGCAAAGAGCAAGUGCCGGUGUGGGAGCCUUCCCAGGCCUCAAGCGGCGGAGCGGAGGGGAAUUUUCCUCUCUUUGAGGGACGUUCUCACAGCUUUUCCAAUACGAGCUGCAAAGCAGAGCGGGACAGACAGCCAGGCGAAAAGUCGAGGAAAAAGGUCAGGCGCACCAGCAGGCGAGGGGUUCAGACUCCAGUCCAAAGGAAGAGCGUACCUAUGGUGAGCCAUUUCGCCCCCUCCGGUGCUCCUGCGAGCAGCUCUCAGCCAUCGCACCUGAACUGGGACGCGGAGAAUUACAGGCUGCAGAAACCUCACCCUCACCCCAGCAACAUGAAACUAAACAUGAACAGACAGAGGAACAUCCCCUAAUUACCAGGGGGGGAUUCUGAGGUUGUCGGGUGCUGGGGACAUCGGGUGAGGGUGGCAGGACCUGCCUUCCCUAUGGGAUGUGCUCAGGAGCCUUGGGCAAACUGCUGAGACAGCUGGGCUUCAGAAACUUUUAAAGUUUGCUUUUCCACCAGCGAGAGGAGCAAGUACAGCAAAGUGGACUUGGAAGGGGGAGCGUCUCCUAUUUAAUUUUGCAGUUGCUAUAGUGAUUGAUUAAAUUAAAAAAAAAAAAAAAAAA